GUAGUCAUAUGCUUGUCUCAAAGCUUAAGCCAUGCAUGUCUAAGUUCAAGCAAAAAUAACGUGAAACCGCGAAUGGCUCAUUAAAUCAGUUAUGGUUCCUUAGAUCGUACUUACUGCAUGGAUAACUGUGGUAAUUCUAGAGCUAAUACAUGCAAAGAGCUCUGACCCUCGUGGAAAGAGUGCUUUUAUUAGAUCAAAGCCAAUCGGAUCUUCGGGUCCGUUUUGUUGGUGACUCUGAAUAACUUUGCUGAUCGCAUGGUCUCGUACCGGCGACGUAUCUUUCAAGUGUCUGCCUUAUCAACUGUCGAUGGUAGGUUAUGCGCCUACCAUGGUUGCAACGGGUAACGGGGAAU
rnacentral:rRNA from 1 species